rnacentral:tRNA from 1 species
UCCUUGGUGGUCUAGUGGUUAGGACUUGGUGCUUUCACCACUGUGGCCCGGGUUCAAUCCCCAGUCUGAGAA